ensembl:lncRNA
GUUUGCAGUGUUUUACAAAUAACUGAUACAUAUGUAUGAAAUAAAACAUUUCUUUCUUGGCAUGUCGCGGUGGCUGGCGUUGUUCAUUGGUCAGGCAUCGACCAAUAAAAUGUCUUCAUUCGCACCAAAGCCCCGCCCCUGGCUCUGCGCUCUCACAUCUGCAUAUACAAGUGCACAAGUGAGUUUUGCAACAGGAAUACUGCAAAAAGAGUAGCAAAAGUCAGAGCGCUAGGAUUUGAACUCGUACUGCCAGAUCUGAGAGGUUGUAAGUGCCGACUUGACGUUGUGCAGCGAAACUGAAGUAAAGUGCAAAAGUAAAUAUGUCGUAAACAUUUGUGUAUGUCAUUUUACACAUUUGUGACUAUUAAUCUACAACUUCCAAUUCAAAACACGGGUGUUUGAUCAUUGUCUGUGUGUGCAAAUUGAAAGAUUCAGCUUUUCACAUCAGAGCUGUGAGUGUAAAUUUCAACUUACAAAUACGAAUGUUAAUAUGACAAGUUCUCACAUUCAGAUGUCCAACCUCUCGAGUUUAGCUACUGAUUUACCUCCAUAUUUGAUCAGGCGCUCAGUAAGACAGGACGGUUGCUAUUGCAGUCUAGCAUUUGAUUAUAGCAGAAAGCUCUUUUUUCCGUUUUUUUGGGAAUCUGCCCCUUGAGCUGCAACCGCAUGGAAACCUCAGUCUGCUUCAUCACAAAUGCAGAUGUUCAAAGCGAGCUUGACCAUGAGGAGAGCCGCACACCUGCAGGGUCUCCUGCCAUCAUUACCCAGACUCCCCCUCUCACACAGUGACACGGCAGACCCCUACAGCACAUCCAGACUGGAACAGGAUAUGACAUCAGACAGAGAGCUGGACUCGCCACACAUGGAAGCCAUCAGAACUCAAAGUGCUUGUGUGAAGGGAUCUGAUCCAGAGGAGAAACAGAGGAAGUCAGAGGGGAGUUGGCUUUCAUACAUCUUAGUGAAACAGGUCAGUAAGUGACUCAGUCCUUUAUAUUCUCCUGUUCCUAGAACAUCCUUCAUUUUUACUCAUGAUAGGGUGUUACUUUAACUACGAUCCAAAUUUAAAUUUUUGUUAGAUGAAGGUCACAUUAAACAUCUCUAUUUAUGCAUUAUGCAGACACUUUUAUUCAAAGUCAAUUACAUUGCAAUGAUGCAGUAAAGGUACUGUAUAUAUAUAUAUAUAUAUCAAUUCAGUCAGUCCUUGGGAACUGAACCAGUGAACUACUGAACAGUGAGAUCAUCAGGAAUACUGUUUUGGAAACUUUUCACCAGAUCUUCAUCAUUUAUUUUUGCUUCUCUUUAAGUAAAGAUAUUUCAGUGUUUUCUCCAGAUUUUGAUUAUUUUCUCCCAGAUUCUAACUUUCAAUAUUUAAC